rnacentral:rRNA from 1 species
CCUACGGGCGGCAGCAGUGAGGAAUAUUGGUCAAUGGCCGGAAGGCUGAACCAGCCAUGCCGCGUGCAGGUCAGUGCCCUAUGGGCGUUAAACUUCUUUUGUGCGGGAGCAAUAAUGGUCACGUGUGGCCAGACGAGAGUACCGUACGAAUAAGCAUCGGCUAACUCCGUGCCAGCAGCCGCGGUAAUCCGGGGGAUGCAAGCGUUAUCCGGAUUUAUUGGGUUUAAAGGGUGCGUAGGCUGGGAGGUAAGUCAGCGGUGAAAUGCCCCCGCUCAACGGGGUGAAGUGCCAUUGAUACUGCCUUGCUGGAAUGCGGAUGCCGUGGGAGGAAUGUGUGGUGUAGCGGUGAAAGGCAUAGAUAUCACACAGAACACCGAUUGCGAAGGCAUCUCACGAAUCCGCGAUUGACGCUGAUGCACGAAAGCGUGGGUAUCAAACAGGAUUAGAUACCCGAGUAGUC